AGAGUUUGAUCCUGGCUCAGGAUAAACGCUGGCGGCGUGCCUAACACAUGCAAGUCGAACGCGCUCGGGCAACCGAGCGAGUGGCGGACGGGUGAGGAACACGUGGGUCAUCUACCUCUGGGUGAGGAAUACCGGCGAGAAAUCGCCGACAAAACCGCAUAGGCUUGCCCGCAAGGAGCAAGCAAAGUCGCAAGACGCCC
rnacentral:rRNA from 1 species